CUCUCUCUCUCGCUCUCUCUCUCUGUCUGUCUGUCUCUCUCUCACACACACAUAUUUAUUGUUACAGUAUCAGGAGGCAAGUCAAAGAGCUUUCAAGUUUGAUUUCACCCUGUCUCCAUGCAUCACCACAGAAACAACAAGACAAGACUGAGCCACGUUUGGUAUCGUAAGAUGCUUCAGCAAACAACUUCCAAAGGCAAAGGAGUGACUGUGAAAAUGUGUUCCCUGCGGUGAAGACGACAUUAUAUAAAGCCGUGCCCUAUGGCUGGUGGGAGCCGAAGCAGAGUUGGUGACCCUUGCUCGAGGAAGAAGGGGGUUUAGAGAGUGCGACCAUAAGCGUCCUGCUCAGGGUGAAGCAACCGGCCCUGCCGCAGUGGGGCCACGGUGCCAUCGGCCAGUCGACAGAGCAACAUGCAGCAAAUGUGGCCGUCAACAGUCACAAAAACAGCAGAGAUGCUGUUUGACCAGCCAAGUUCUUCCAGCAGCUAACUCUUUAAAUUAAAAACCAUCCAACUCAAGGCCAGCACAUGGGUUCACAUCUGACCUUUUUUAUCAGGAAUAUUGUUUGGUAAAUCUUCUCUGCUGAAGCCUCCAACAUGGAGCUGCAUCAAUUGAGAAGUAAUGAUGGUCUACGAUUGAAAAAGCCUAAAGAGUACCAUCAAUGGUUGCCACACCAAGGCUGGGUUAGUGAUCAAUACCAUUGCCACACUCCACAACGACAUGUUCGGCACUCAGACCCUUGAGCAGACAAAGAAGAUGGAAGAACAAUGGCAGAUAACAUCUCUGUUCACCAGCAAACAGGCUAAAAAGCAGUUUAUAUAGAGCAGCCCAUAAACAUCAUCCACUAUUCUGUUUCUUACCAAGUUCCCAUCCAACAGUCCUUUGCUGUUACCACAUUACAACGCCAGACACAAACAUGAGCAGCAACAUUGUUGAUGUGUGACAAUCAGAUUCAGGAACAGCAGAAGCUCCCAGCAAUGAUCAGGCUCAUGAACAUGACAACACCAACCUCAGCAAUUAUGAUCUUCUAUGGACCAUGUCUUUGGUUGCACUAGUACGAUUAUUAUUUUAUUGUAUUUUUGAUUGUUAUAUAUUAUCUGUGUGCCAUUGUGUUAAAUUGCAGCAAUUAAGAUUUCCAUUGGUCUGGUUUAAGUAUAUGACAAUUAAACACAGUUGACUCUCGACUCUCCUGACCAUUACUGAUACUCACAAGGAGCUUUGCAGGUAAUUGCCUCAGCUUACACGCAGGAAGAAAUGUAGUCUGUCCAGCUGUAGACCCGAUUACAAGCUUUGAUUCUGCUGGAGGAGUCUACUACGCCUACUGGGCAGUGUGCGUGUGGGCACAUGUGCGUUUUGGGGGUGGGUAAUGCUCAAAGUAACACCACCCAGCCCCUUGAUCUUUUUCAUUAUGUUGCUCAUUUUCACAUCACAUGGUAAAAACUUCUGAAUGUCACCCACUUUGCUCCUUCCCUUAAACUCAUUCAAGAUGACUACACAAUGUAAAAAACACAAUUCCAGUACGUCCCAUUACAUUGUGCUCAUUUAGGUGGAUUAAGUCAUAAUGCCUUAAUCAGGUUGACACAGGAAAUUGCCUCAAGCAUUUAAACUCUCUUAGGAAAAAUAGUGUUCAGGGUAAAAGGACAUAAAUUAUUUCCUAACAAUUUCUAAUUGCUAUACUUAUUUUACAAUGGCCAUCAGUGUAAUUACAAUGCUGAAGAUUACUUACCUUUUGAAAUAAGACUGGGUUGAUAGCUUUAAGAUCACUAUAACAACAGACCAUAGCAUGCAGAAACUUGAGAAACUAUCUCAUGGAUAUCUAUCACAACCGUUCAAUUUUUCUAAUUUAACUUAACUUUUUCCUUUAGCUACAACCACAACAUUCAUAAGUCAUGUAACAGGGAGCAUUGGUAAACUGUUAAAAGUCAUGUUUCACAAUAUGCAACAGUGAUCAAUGUACUAUACUGUAUCCACUGCAGAUGACAAUUGCAGUCAUGAUCACUUUACUAAUCAAUCACUGCUUUUCUCGUGCUAUUAUAAAUGAUGUUAUGUACACGUCAUCAGCCUAUGGUGUGUUUUACAAUGGAGAAUCCCAUUCUGUUUCAUUCUUUAGUUAGUUCGGACUGAUUAACUGAUCGCUCCUGUUCAUCAACUACUGGAUGGCUGGGGUGAACCCAUGAUGUUUAAUAGAUGGAAUCCACCACGUCACUCAGUCAAGCCAAAGACAAGAUUCAAAAUUCACAGCUGCUUUCUUCAUUGAUUUUACAGUUUAUUUGUGAACGAAAUAAAAAUUGCUGAUGAGAA